UUACAACAGCCGUUGUUUCUUGGAUCUCCGUCUUACUUGGAUAACUGCGGUAAUUCUGGAGCUAAUACAUGCAGCCGAGCUCUGACUUCACAGGAAGAGCGCAUUUAUUAGAUCAAAACCAAUCGGCUUCGGCCGUUUCUGGUGAAUCUGAAUAACUACGCAGAUCGCUCAGGUUUAACACCGGCGACAUAUCCUUCAAGUGUCUGCCUUAUCAACUUUCGAUGGUAGUUUUCAUGCCUACCAUGGUGACGACGGGUAACGGAG
rnacentral:rRNA from 1 species